AUACUUACCUGGCAGGGGAGACACCAUGAUCACAAAGAGUGAUUUUCCCAAGACAAGACUUUUCCAUUAUACUCUGGAUGUGUCGAUCCCCACAAUUUUCCCAAAUGUGAAAAACUCAACUGCAUAAUUUGUGGUAGUAGGCAGUGGGUUCUAAUUUUCUCCUC